rnacentral:rRNA from 1 species
UACGUAGGGUGCAAGCGUUGUCCGGAAUUAUUGGGCGUAAAGAGCUCGUAGGCGGUCUGUCGCGUCUGCUGUGAAAACUCAGGGCUUAACCCUGAGCUUGCAGUGGGUACGGGCAGACUAGAGUGCGGUAGGGGAGACUGGAAUUCCUGGUGUAGCGGUGAAAUGCGUAGAUAUCGGGAGGAACACCAGUGGCGAAGGCGACUACCUGGCCUGUUCUUGACGCCGAGGCGCGAAAGCUAGGGGAGCAAACGGG